UACGAGGGGGGCAAAUGUUGUUCGGAAUCACUGGGCGUAAAGGGAGCGUAGGCGGGUUUCUAAGUCAGGUGUUUAAUCCCGGGGCCCAACCCCGGACAGGCACUUGAACUGGGAAUCUUGAAUAGUGGAGAGGUCAGUGGAAUUGGGGUGUAGCGGUGGAAUGCGCAGAUAUCAGGAGGAACACCGGUGGCGAAGGCGGGUCUCUGGGCCGUAACUGACGCUGAGGAGCGAAAGCAUGGGGAGCGA
rnacentral:rRNA from 1 species